ensembl:lncRNA
GGGAAAAUUUGAACAAUGAGACCCAUAUAAAAUGGUCCCAGAACAUUUUUUUAUGAGAAAUUAUUGAAUUAAUUUCAGUGGUUUUCAACAUUUUUUACUUGUAGUCUAUGAUAUUACCCUUUUUAUUUUCAGUGAUCUACCCUGAUAUAUCUACCUUGAUAUAUUUUCAAUGAUGAAAAAGCUGCUUGAUUUCAUUCUUUUUUAAUUAACAAGAAUUGAUAAUUAAACGUGUUCAAUAACUGUUUAAAGAACUGUUCUCAAUGUUCUUCAAUAAGAACAGUAUUUUUUGAAGGGGAAAAGAAUAUGAUUGGAGUUUACAUCUUGAUGUUAUUUGUUUUUUAGCAUUUUAAUUUACAUUGUUUUUAUUAUUACAUAUAUAUUUUUUUAUAAAUCAAUAAUAAUUUAUUAAUUUAAGUCAUCCUAUGGCCCCCUAACGUGUCCCUGGUAGAGAACUGCUGAUUUAUAUUGCAAUCUAAGAAUUCAAAAUUUGUUCAGAGUUUGCAACAUUAUUAAACUCUAAAGGAGAAACAUGUGAACAAGACUUUUCCUCUGAAGAAAAAUCUGUAUUUGCUCACCAUUUAAUCUUAUUGCUGCUUGAAAGAAAGAGUUAGAUAUUAAAGAGAUCUUAUACGUGCUUUUUCUUUUCUGUGUCUAUGCAAUUAUUCAAAAGCCAAACGCAUUGUCUCCUCUGCAUUGCCAUUUAAUUGUAUUUACAACUAGUUUUUCAUGCUAACGUGAGUUCUGUUUCUCAGGAUCACAUCACGGGGCAAAAACCUCCUAAGCGUUCGACCAGCGCAAGCGUGUUAAAGCUUGUAGAGGUGGAGCGGUCCACCUCAUCUGCUCUCUGCCAGAGUCAGUGUGUGUGAUAAAUGGUGGGUGUGUGUGACGCCCCCCUCCACCCUCCCAGCAUGUAUAAGUUUUGCCUUUAAUUACCAUGGCUGAUAAUGUUUCCUAUCCAUAACUGUCUGUGCAGAGAGGAGGCCUGGUCUGCUUACUGAUGCACAGGAGAUACCGAACCAGCUCCCCCCCCACCACCACCCUUCCAUCCACCUCCUCUUCCUCCAUCUUUCAGCUUCAUCUAUCAAACUUCAGUCUUGUUCGUGGCAGCUGCAUCAGUUGUGUGUGAGAAAUGGAGCUGCGGUGAAUCACGGCGCUCUGAUUCGCCCCAGCCCAGCGUGACUGUGGAGCGCCUGCCGGAAUCCAGCGGAAUGUGCCAGAACUGAAGCCUGCUCGGCCCAGUCAUCCUUAGCAGGGAGACAUUAGUUACGAUACAUUAUCUGAAUGGCCUGCCAUCUUUUCAAAGUAAACCUCAUGGAUUCUAGCCUGUCUCUUUUUAUAUUUUUUUCUCAAGUGCACUAGUGCACACACACUCACACACACAUAAACACUCAAAGGCACAUUCGAGUGGACACACGGGAACACCUAUAAUAGGCUUACACGACCGCGCACACCCUGCAAUUACAAACAUACAAACACACACACACACACACACACACACACACGCUCACUCUUUAUGUGGAGCCGCCCCCCUCUCGUUGCUUGCACUCCUUGGGCUAUAAUAAAUUUCUUUGAAACAUGACUCUACA